UAUUGGUACCAGGGAAAGGAGCAGACACUUCGGGCACAGGUGGUUCCAGGUGUGGCACAAAACACCUGGGGCUUGUGCCUCUGGGCCACUCGCUAACAACACUCCCUGUGGAAUAAUCACUUUCUAGAUCUAUGGAGUGGCUUCCCACCCAGGGCCGGAUUUAGGUUUGAUGAGGCCCUCAGCUACUGAAGGUGGAAUGCAAGGCAGCUGCUAGCCUGAUGUUGACCUUCCACUCACCUGUCAGGAUGGCCAAGGCCAGUGUGAGGACGAAGAACUUCAUGGUGCUUUGGCGGAGGGUCCUGAGAACCUGCUGGGAUGAUGGUCAAACAGGGCAGUGAUAGCCUUCUCCGCAACCUGGUAUGGCACCCCGAAAACCAGAUCAAAAGCUUCCACGACCUCAUCAGAAAUAACAUCUCCUCUUUUCUACAUGGGAAGAGAGCAGCGCAGAGCGGAAACGAGUCUAAUUUGCUUACGAAAUCUCCCGGCCCUCCUCUGUUCUGUCAACGAUGGUGGAACACAAGGCAGCUGCUAGCCUGAUGUUGACCUUCCACUCACCCGUCAGGAUGACCAAGGCCAGUGUGAGGACGAAGAACUUCAUGGUGCUUUGGCGGAGAGUCCUGAGAACCUGCUGGGAUGAUGGGUGAUCUCCUGCAUUCUGCUGACGACGGCACUGUGUAGGAUUGCUGCGUACGGACCCACCUUCUCUAGAACUGGAUCGACGUAACCCACCAGGGCAGAAUGCA